rnacentral:rRNA from 1 species
UGCCUACGGGGGGCAGCAGUAGGGAAUUUUCGGCAAUGGGGGGAACCCUGACCGAGCAACGCCGCGUGAACGAAGAAGUUAUUCGUAAUGUAAAGUUCUUUUAUCAGGGAAGAAAGAGGAAUUUGACGGUACCUGAGGAAUAAGCUCCGGCUAACUACGUGCCAGCAGCCGCGGUAAUACGUAGGGGGCAAGCGUUGUUCGGAAUGACUGGGCGUAAAGGGUGUGUAGGCGGUGUAGCAAGUUAGAAGUGAAAUACCUAGAGCUUAACUCAGGUGCUGCUUCUAAAACUGCUAUACUUGAGUGCA